AACGAACGCUGGCGGCAUGCCUAACACAUGCAAGUCGAACGAGACCUUCGGGUCUAGUGGCGCACGGGUGCGUAACGCGUGGGAACCUGCCCUUAGGUUCGGAAUAACUCCCCGAAAGGGGUGCUAAUACCGGAUAAUGUCUUCGGACCAAAGAUUUAUCGCCUUUGGAUGGGCCCGCGUUGGAUUAGCUAGUUGGUAGGGUAAAAGCCUACCAAGGCGACGAUCCAUAGCUGGUCUGAGAGGAUGAUCAGCCACACUGGGACUGAGACACGGCCCAGAAUCCUACGGGAGGCAGCAGUGGGGAAUAUUGGACAAUGGGGGAAGGCCUGAUCCAGCAAUGCCGCGUGAGUGAUGAAGGCCUUAGGGUUGUAAAGCUCUUUUACCCGGGAUGAUAAUGACAGUACCGGGAGAAUAAGCUCCGGCUAACUCCGUG
rnacentral:rRNA from 1 species